rnacentral:tRNA from 1 species
AUUAGCUCAGUUGGUAGAGCAUCUGACUUUUAAUCAGAGGGUCGCAGGUUCGAGCCCUGCAUG